ACACCACUGCACCCAUCCUGGGUGACAGAGGAAGACCCUGUCUCUAAAACAUAAAGAAAAGAAAAGAAAAUACAAUUUGAGGAACAUUCAACAAAAUAAUUGAUCAGUACUCUUCAGAAGUAUCAAGGUCAUGAAAGAGCAGGAAAGACUAAGAAACUUACAGUCUACAGGAGACUGAGAAGAAAUAACAACUAAAUGCAAUGUGGGAUUCUGUGUAGGAUUCUGUACCAGAAAAAGGACACUGAAGGAAAAACUGACAAAAUUCAAAUAAGGGCUUACAGUAUAAUAAGUAAUAUACCAAUGUGGAUUUCCUGGUUCUAAUAAUAGUACUAUGAUUAUGUAACAUGUUAAACAUUUAAGGAAGCUAUGUGCAGAGUGUAUGGAAACCCACUAUACUAUUUUUGCAUCUUCUUCAUGAACUAAAGUUUAUUCACAGUAAAAAGUUAAAUGAUUUUUUGAAAAUAAAGAGCCUGUCGGCCACCCCAGCUGAAGGGAAAGCCUCCUUCCAAGCCACUGUUUUCUACAGGUUCAGGCUCCAGCCGUGAUAUGCAAGCCCAUCUCACUCCACACCUGUCAUACUCCAGCCUUCCCUAAGGUCAUCCUUCUCAAUUUAUUAUGCAGAAUGACUUGUCUCUCCUCUACUAACUGAAGGCUAACCUUCAAAAACUCAUUAAUAUGUUGAAACACGGGGUAAUGUAGUCCAGGUCUUUCCUUCAGCAGCCCAGGGGAACCAGCAGAGGCUUCAUAAUUUUAGACUUUCCUUUCUCCAUUUCCCAGGCCCUGAGAAGAGAAGAUCAGAAUAAAGAUUGAUUUCCUCAUUGAUGUGAAUUUUGUCACAACCACCAUCUUUGGAAUUCAGAUGUUACUAUGAAGUAUUAAGACCUUCCUCUUUAGUUUUCUGAAACUUUACCAUGAACUGUCAAGGCUGAAGAGGAAGAAGAGGAGGAGGAGGAGAGGUCGGUCUUGCUGUCUCAGGAGCAGCAGAGAUGGAAUAAAAUCCACGUAUAAGUGGACCCAAACAAUUAAAACUCAUGUUGUUUAAGUGUCUACUGUAUAUCCCUUUGAACAAUAAUUUUCAUAUUUUCAGGUAGAAGACUUAUUUUAAUACUGUUUCAAACAACCAAGAAGCUCAUUUUGUUCUAAAUUAACUUUUGCGGUAUAAUAUGGAUUUGUUAUACUCAGAAACAAAAUUUUAAAUAGCAAAAGGCUCUGAGAAAACAGCCACUUAAUUUUAAAUCUGUCUUUAUUUUUGUUUACAGUAGUAUUUUUAUAUUGACCUCAACUAAUAAAAACAUGUUGAAAAUAAAAAAUGCAGGAUGGAAGAGGUGGUGUGGAUCCUCUGAACAGCCAAAAGAGAAGUAAUAAAGUUGAGGUUUUCAUAAGUGAGAGCUUUGGACCAACAGUAUUUUGUUGACCGUAGUCCAUUUUUUUGUCUCAGUAAACCUUUUAGAUGUGUUAUGGGGUAUAACAAAAGCAAAAGCAAAGGUAGAAAGAAUAACUCUCCAGAGAUACACCACCCAAAGACUGCCACUGUUAAUAUUUUGAUCUAUUAAAUCUAU